GAAAAGAAACCAACAGGGAUUGCCCUAGUAACGGCGAGUGAAGCGGCAACAGCUCAAAUUUGAAAUCUGGCUCUCGGGCCCGAGUUGUAAUUUGUAGAGGAUGCUUUUGAUGCGGUGCCUUCCGAGUUCCCUGGAACGGGACGCCAUAGAGGGUGAGAGCCCCGUCUGGUUGGAUGCCAAAUCUCUGUAAAGCUCCUUCGACGAGUCGAGUAGUUUGGGAAUGCUGCUCUAAAUGGGAGGUAUAUGUCUUCUAAAGCUAAAUACCGGCCAGAGACCGAUAGCGCACAAGUAGAGUGAUCGAAAGAUGAAAAGCACUUUGAAAAGAGAGUUAAAAAGUACGUGAAAUUGUUGAAAGGGAAGCGUUUAUGACCAGACUUGGGCUUGGUUAAUCAUCUGGGGUUCUCCCCAGUGCACUUUUCCAGUCCAGGCCAGCAUCAGUUUUCGCCGGGGGAUAAAGGCUUCGGGAAUGUGGCUCUCUCCGGGGAGUGUUAUAGCCCGUU
rnacentral:rRNA from 2 species